GACAUAAGAAAGUCAUGAAGAAGACAGCCAAAAUAAUGGAUGAGGUGUUUGAUAAAUUCCUCAAAGAGCAUCGGGAGAGGAUAAAUAAUUUUGGUGAACUACCGGCGGCGGAAAAGGACUUCAUGGAUGUUAUGAUUUCUACAGUUGAAGACGAUGGACAACAUUUCAAUUGCCAUGUUGAUACUGUUAUUAAAGCUACAUGCUUGGUAAGCAAAAUAUAUUAGGGUAUGCAAGUCUGUCUUAUAGAUUAUAAUUGCUAUUUGCUAAUAAUGGAAGUCUAUUAACAAUAGUCUUAAUUCUAUCAACUUUAUACCAUUACCACCAACACAAUUAUAUUAUCGUGCUAUAUUUCACAUUUUAGAUUUAAUUAGCUUGAAAAUUGUUAUUAUGGAUUUAAUUAAAAACAUUUGUAAAUAUAGUAAAAUAAACAGAAAUAUUUGUAAAAUAUAGCUAAUUUUUUUAUUUUCAGUUAUAUUAGGUAAAUAUUUUCAACUAUUUUCGAUUUAGACUUUUAAAAUUAAAACUUAGGAAGUUUUUGUGAUUACAGUAGCUUAGAAAUUUUAACGUUAAUUUUAUAUCUAUGAUUUUGUAACAAAAGGGGCUUAAAGUAUGAAGAAAUUCAACGUAGAUUUAUGAGUAUUAGUUUGCAAUGUUGAAUGUUGAGAUCUAGAUUAUUUGGUUUUUCAAAAAAGUAUACAUUUCAUUUGUAAAAUGACAUAUUUAGUUAUGAUAUUAAUAAAUUUGGUAUGAUUCAUUUUAACGCAGAAUAUGAUAUUAGGUGGAUUUGACACAACAACAGUUACAAUGACAUGGGCUCUUUGUUUACUUCUCAACAAUAAAGAAGCACUCAAGAAGGCUCAAGUUGAAUUAGAUGAACAAGUUGGGAGAGAAAGACAAGUGAAAGAGACGGAUUUGAAAAAUCUACCAUAUCUCCAAGCUAUUGUUAAGGAAACUCUACGAUUGUAUCCUGCUGCACCACUGUUAGUCCCUCAUGAAUCUAUAGAAGAUUGCACAGUUGCUGGCUAUCACAUACCUAAAGGAACACGCCUCAUAGUUAAUGUUCAAAAACUUCAAAGAGAUCCACUUGUUUGGGAGGAUCCAUUUGAAUUUCGACCAGAAAGAUUUUUAACAAGUCAAAAGAAUUUUGAUGUUAGAGGACAAAAUCCCCAAUUCAUACCGUUUGGAAAUGGUCGAAGGAUGUGCCCUGCAAUCUCAUUUGCACUUCAAAUAAUCUAUCUUACACUCUCAAACUUUCUUCAUGGGUUUGAAAUUGAUAGACCAUCAGAAGAACUACUUGACAUGGAAGAGAGUAUUGGAUUGAC
rnacentral:lncRNA from 1 species